GUUGUCGUUAGGUCAGAGGUAGGCACGUUUUUGGUCAGCGGAGACCCUCAUUUUGAUGGUUGUAUUUGUGGUUGUAUAUGCCAGAAAAUGGAUGCGAUACAUAUAUCAACUUCAUUAGAGCAAGAAGCAUUGAAACGGCGAGAAAAGUUAAAAGCAUUGAGGGAGAAGAGUGCUGCUGCUGAGAUCGUCUGUCAGAAGCCAUUAGAGAAUUUGAAUCCAUCCAUGAAAGUGAAGAAGUUGUCCUGUGUUGUUUGAUGGCAUUAAUUUAUGCACAUAAAAAAGGCACAAUUAAUUGACAAGGAAAGUGUACAUGAAUUGGAAACAAGAUUGAAAAAGAUUCGAACAAGUGUUGGUGAGAAUGCGCUAUACUUUGGUGCAAUGUUUUUAUGGCACACAGGGCAUCAUGAAAAAGCAAGAGAAUAUGUUGACAGAAUGUUGAAAAUGUCCGAAAGAGGUUUUCUUAACAUGCCUUUCACAUCAUAACCACAAUUUAACCUGCCUUCUUUCAUAUGUACAUACAGGGAACUAUUUUACGUGGAUGUAUUGAUCUUACAAGUACAUGAGAUUCUGCCAUUAAGAAAUCCAUAAAAUAUUUUGAUGAGGCUUUACAGGGGUAUGUUAAUGUUUUCUCAUAAAGACUUUACAAUUUUCAAUAUUUCAAUAUAAUAUUUUCCAACUUCAGAGAAUAUUGAUGCACUGUUUGGUAAGGUAUGUAACAUACACAAAGUACAUAGAAAACAUCCAUGCCAUUUUGUCAUGUCAUGUUUUUCAUUUCUCUUUCAAGGCUACAUAUCUUGUAAAGAAAAGUAAUUUCACUUUGGCGCUGGAAUUUUUUAAUGAAGUAAGUUGUUUAUUGGGAAAUAUCGAUGGAAGUGGAGUCAAUAAUUCAACCAAGACCUGGUAUGAUUGUGCAAGGACAAACAAUGCAAUUGCAAGUGAAGGCAUCCACCAGCCCUGUUGCAUAUGAGAAACUUAAGAAUAUUCUUCUCAAAGAUGAAGAUAUCGUUCAUGCCUUUCGGAAACAGGAG